rnacentral:rRNA from 1 species
UACGUAGGGGGCAAGCGUUGUCCGGAAUCAUUGGGCGUAAAGCGCGUGUAGGCGGCUUGGUAAGUCUGCUCUGAAAGCCCGGGGCUCAACCCCGGGAGGCGGGUGGAUACUGUCAAGCUCGAGUCCGGAAGAGGAGUGUGGAAUUCCUGGUGUAGCGGUGAAAUGCGUAGAUAUCAGGAGGAACACCUGUGGCGAAAGCGGCGCACUGGACCACAACUGACGCUGAGGCGCGAAAGCUAGGGGAGCAAACAGG